GGGUUGUGAGGUUAAGCGACUAAGCGUACACGGUGGAUGCCCUGGCAGUCAGAGGCGAUGAAGGGCGUGCUAAUCUGCGAUAAGCGCCGGUAAGGUGAUAUGAACCGUUAUAACCGGCGAUACCCGAAUGGGGAAACCCAGUGUGACUCGUCACACUAUCAUUAACUGAAUCCAUAGGUUAAUGAGGCGAACCGGGGGAACUGAAACAUCUAAGUACCCCGAGGAAAAGAAAUCAACCGAGAUUCCCCCAGUAGCGGCGAGCGAACGGGGAGGAGCCCAGAGCCUGAAUCAGCAUGUGUGUUAGUGGAAGCGUCUGGAAAGGCGCGCGAUACAGGGUGACAGCCCCGUACACAAAAGCGCAUGUGCUGUGAGCUCGAUGAGUAGGGCGGGACACGUGGUAUCCUGUCUGAAUAUGGGGGGACCAUCCUCCAAGGCUAAAUACUCCUGACUGACCGAUAGUGAACCAGUACCGUGAGGGAAAGGCGAAAAGAACCCCGGCGAGGGGAGUGAAAAAGAACCUGAAACCGUGUACGUACAAGCAGUGGGAGCCCCACCACCAAAGCAUUUGCUGUACCGCGUUGACGGAGCGAAGCGACGUCAAACCGAUAAAACAGCAGUGUAAAGUGAGCCGCAGGGCGCUUUGCGCGACAGCGCAAAGGCAGGCGGUUUCGCGUAGCGAAAGCGAAUGCUUUGGGGUGGGGUGACUGCGUACCUUUUGUAUAAUGGGUCAGCGACUUAUAUUCUGUAGCAAGGUUAACCGAAUAGGGGAGCCGGAGGGAAACCGAGUCUUAACCGGGCGUUAAGUUGCAGGGUAUAGACCCGAAACCCGGUGAUCUAGCCAUGGGCAGGUUGAAGGUUGGGUAACACUAACUGGAGGACCGAACCGACUAAUGUUGAAAAAUUAGCGGAUGACCUGUGGCUGGGGGUGAAAGGCCAAUCAAACCGGGAGAUAGCUGGUUCUCCCCGAAAGCUAUUUAGGUAGCGCCUCGUGAAUUCAUCUCCGGGGGUAGAGCACUGUUUCGGCUAGGGGGCCAUCCCGGCUUACCAACCCGAUGCAAACUGCGAAUACCGGAGAAUGUUAUCACGGGAGACACACGGCGGGUGCUAACGUCCGUCGUGAAGAGGGAAACAACCCAGACCGCCAGCUAAGGUCCCAAAGUCAUGGUUAAGUGGGAAACGAUGUGGGAAGGCCCAGACAGCCAGGAUGUUGGCUUAGAAGCAGCCAUCAUUUAAAGAAAGCGUAAUAGCUCACUGGUCGAGUCGGCCUGCGCGGAAGAUGUAACGGGGCUAAACCAUGCACCGAAGCUGCGGCAGCGACACUGUGUGUUGUUGGGUAGGGGAGCGUUCUGUAAGCCUGUGAAGGUGUGUCGUGAGGC
rnacentral:rRNA from 1 species